rnacentral:rRNA from 1 species
AUACAGAGGGUGCGAGCGUUAAUCGGAAUUACUGGGCGUAAAGCGCGCGUAGGCGGCUGAUUAAGUCAGAUGUGAAAUCCCAGGGCUCAACCUUGGAACUGCAUCUGAUACUGGUCAGCUCGAGUUUAGGAGAGGGAAGUAGAAUUUCAGGUGUAGCGGUGAAAUGCAUAGAUAUCUGAAGGAAUACCAGUGACGAAGGCGGCUUCCUGGCCUAAAACUGACGCUGAGGUGCGAAAGCGUGGGUAGCAAACGGGAUUAGAUACCCCAGUAGUCC